GCAUCUGCCAAACUCAUUUGAAGACACGAUUUACUAUGAAGCUAAAAGCGGUCAAGUUAAUGCCUUAUCUGGGUGCAAGAAGAUUCGGUGCAAAGAUCACAAUUUUGCACGUGAUUCCGCUGUCGUCAUCUGAGGAGUUUUGUUGUAAAUUGCAAUAAUUAUUGAUGUAAUUUUUAAUAAAAUUUAAUAAUUUUA